GGUGAAGGGCCGGCCGAUAUUGUCCGACCAAGGGUAGCAUCGUCAUUCGUUCUUUAAUUGUGAUCGGGUAUGAAUGGCUUGCCGAGACAUGGGCUGUCUUGGGUGGAGAAUUUGUUGUUGAAUUUGAGUUUAAGUAAAAAUUUUAGAUGUUUUAUGGACGAAAGGCCCUAAGAAGUUAACAUUUAUUGCGUAUUUCUUGUGGUUUGUUUAAAUUUUUAGGGUAUCUUGUUUUGUGGGGGGGA
rnacentral:rRNA from 1 species